AUCGCUGCCCUCCUUUGCUCUUCAUCUUCGAGGAUCAUCCUCAAUGGUAUUGUCGGUGGUCCAAUUAAGCAUGGCCAAGGCCUCCGGCAGGGUGACCCCAUCUCCCCACUCCUAUUCGUCAUCGCCAUUGACCCGCUCCAAAGAAUCCUAGAUGUGGCCAUGAGGGAGGGGCUCCUACACAAGCUCAGGGGAAGGGGGGCAAUGCUGAGGACCUCUCUUUACGCGGAUGACGCGGUGGUUUUCUUGGCCCCGAUCAAAAGAGAUGUGGAAAAUCUUGCAUGCAUCUUGAGAGGCUUUGGUGAGGUCACGGGCCUCUGCACCAACUUCCUCAAGAGCUCGAUGGUGCCCAUCCAUUGCAACCACCUCGAUCUGGGCUGUUUGACCCAAAGCCUGCCAGCAGCAAGAGCUUCUUUCCCUCUGCGGUACCUAGGACUCCCCCUCUCCGUAUGGCAGCUGAAGUUGGUGCUUGGAAGGUGCGGGAGGCCCUCAAGCACAACGCAUGGAUCCUCAAGAUCAAUCCAUCCACCUCUAUCUCCGCCGAGCAUGUCACGCAAUUCUUCACACAUUGGAUGCUCCUUCAUGAGGUCCAUCUUGACGAACUCUCCGAGGAUGACAUCCUUUGGAAGCACUCGGUCUCGGGGCAUUACUCGGCGGCCUCCGCAUAUAAGGCACAAUUUUUAG
rnacentral:rRNA from 1 species